rnacentral:rRNA from 1 species
AGUCGUUCAAGACCAGGACGUUGAUAGGCUGGGUGUGGAAGAGCGGUAACGCUUUAAGCUAACCAGUACUAAUUGCUCGUGAGGCUUGACCCUAUAACUUU